CUCAAGGAAAAGAAGGUUUUGAGAAGAAGAUGGCCCUCAGUAGGAAGAGGAAGUGGGACUCACGGAACGAGGGAGAUGUUACAGGCAAGAGAAAGGGAGAUGCAGCAGGAGAGUUCAACAAAAAGGAAGAAGCAAAGGGUAUUUUCUCAAAGAGCUUGCAGCACAAGUCAAUCACAAAAGUCUCUGAGUCUGCAGCAUCAGAAGA